rnacentral:rRNA from 1 species
GGCCCUUAUUGAACGCUGGCGGCAUGCCUUACACAUGCAAGUCGAACGGUAACAGGUUAAGCUGACGAGUGGCGAACGGGUGAGUAAUGUAUCGGAACGUGCCCAGUCGUGGGGGAUAACUGCUCGAAAGAGCAGCUAAUACCGCAUACGACCUGAGGGUGAAAGCGGGGGAUCGCAAGACCUCGCGCGAUUGGAGCGGCCGAUAUCAGAUUAGGUAGUUGGUGAGGUAAAGGCUCACCAAGCCGACGAUCUGUAGCUGGUCUGAGAGGACGACCAGCCACACUGGGACUGAGACACGGCCCAGACUCCUACGGGAGGCAGCAGUGGGGAAUUUUGGACAAUGGGCGCAAGCCUGAUCCAGCCAUGCCGCGUGCGGGAAGAAGGCCUUCGGGUUGUAAACCGCUUUUGUCAGGGAAGAAAAGGUUCUGGCUAAUACCUGGGACUCAUGACGGUACCUGAAGAAUAAGCACCGGCUAACUACGUGCCAGCAGCCGCGGUAAUACGUAGGGUGCAAGCGUUAAUCGUAAUUACUGGGCGUAAAGCGUGCGCAGGCGGUUAUGCAAGACGGAGGUGAACUCCCCGGUUUCAUCCUGGUAUCUGUCUUUUGUGUCUGCUUGGCUUAUAGUACGGUAGAAUUGGUAGGUCAUUUCUU